rnacentral:rRNA from 1 species
AUGGACGGCAUACUUCCAGCGCCGGCAACAACAAAGGAUGGCGUCCACCAACGGCGCGCCGGUGGUGGCCGGCCUGAAGAACAGCGAGGGACGCCACCUGUGGUGGGGUGUCCCCGGGCGCACCCUCGAGGGCGUUCUGACGUACCUCGAGGGCGGCAACGACCCGCCGUUGGCAUACCCCCCGGCGAGGGCGGCACCCACGGCCACGGCUCACCGCCGACGCAACGGGCAAUGGUUGCCCAGGAGGUUCGGCGCCUCCUCUUCUUCCUCCUCCUCGCGCUCUUCCUCGCACUCCUCGCGGACUCCCUGAAGAUGGCGAGGGAGCGCCAGUGCGCGGCCCUGCGGCGAUUCGCGCAGCGCCGCCGAGGCCGCGACGAAGGAGGAGUCGUUGUCAUCGAGGACAGCGACGACGACGACGCGCCGCCGCCACCAGUUCGCGUUGGCGACGCCGGUCAGGGGUCCACCAGGGACGGCCGCGUCAAGGAGGAGAAGCCCGACGACGACGGCGGCGAGGAUGGCGGCGACGACGGCGACUACUCCGCGUUUAGCCAGUUUCUUUUUUAA